rnacentral:siRNA from 1 species
AACCUCGCCGUAUGAUAUCCAGAU